rnacentral:misc_RNA from 1 species
GUUUAAUGCAUUAAAGCUUUAAAAUAAUCAGUCAAAUAAUAAAAAAACAGGUGUUUUCAAAGGUUUAGGCGGCCCAUCUCUGAUCGUCGAAAAUAAAUUCUCGACUCUCAAAGGGCUUGGAGGGCCGCCAAGAGACAUUGAUACGUUCACAAGUGGGGUUUAUUUUUUUGAAUCGUGGAGGCAGUCACCCGCUUCCCCGAUUAAAAAAAACAAUUUUUGUAAUGAUCCAACCGCAGGUUCACCUACGGUUA